AUUGAACGCUGGCGGCAGGCCUAACACAUGCAAGUCGAACGAGUGGCGGACGGGUGAGUAAUGUCUGGGAAACUGCCCGAUGGAGGGGGAUAACUACUGGAAACGGUAGCUAAUACCGCAUACCAUCGGAUGUGCCCAGAUGAGAUUAGCUAGUAGGUGGGGUAACGGGUCACCUAGGCGAUGAUCCCUAGCUGGUCUGAGAGGAUGACCAGACACACUGGAAAGGAGACACGGUCCAGAGUCCUGCGGGAGGCAACAGUGGGGAUUAUUGCACAAUGGGCUCAAGCAUGAGGCAGCCACACCGCGAGUAUGAAGAAGGGCUUCGGGUUGUAAAGUACUUUCAGCUAAGAGGCGUUACUCGCAGAUGAAGCACCAGCUAACGCCGUGCAAGCAGCCGCGGUAAUAC
rnacentral:rRNA from 1 species